rnacentral:rRNA from 1 species
GAAAUGCGAUAAGUAAUGUGAAUUACAGAAUUCAGUGAAUCAUCGAAUCUUUGAACGCACCUUGCACCCUUUGGUAUUCCGAAGGGUAUGCUCGUUUGAGUGUCAUUGUACUCUCACACUCUUCCUGUUUUGCGACGGGGGGAGCGGUGGACUUGGAUGUGUGCUGCUUGACCGCGGCUCAUCUGAAAUGCAUUAGUGCACCGUUGGGUUGGGCAUAGUACGGCGUGAUAAGUAUCUUCGCCGGCACCUCGCAAGAGGGUGUUCGAUCCUUCCGCUCUGCGCUCCAAACCGUCUCCGCGCGGGGACAAUAUCAUUUGACAACUUGACCUCAAAUCGAGUAGGACUACCCGCUGAACUUAAGCAUAUCAAUAAGCGGAGGAAAAGAAACUAACAAGGAUUCCCCUAGUAACCUGAGACUCCAAGGCACACAGGGGGAUA